CCUACGGGUGACAGCAGUGAGGAAUAUUGGUCAAUGGACGCAAGUCUGAACCAGCAAUGCCGCGUGCAGGAAGACGGCUCUAUGAGUUGUAAACUGCUUUUGUAAGAGGGUAAACGCAGAUACGCGUAUCUGUCUGACAGUAUCGUACGAAUAAAGAUCGGCUAACUACGUGCCAGCAGCCGCGGUAAUACGGAGGAUUAAAGCGUUAUCCGGAUUUAUUGGGUGUAACGGGUGCGUAGGCGGGCGGAUAAGUUAGAGGUGAAAUCCCGAGGCUUAACUUCGGAAUUGCCUUUGAUACUGUUCGGCUAGAGAGUAGUUGCGGUAGGCGGAAUGUAUUGUGUAGCGGUGAAAUGCUUAGAGAUCAUACAGAACACCGAUUGCGAAGGCAACUUACCAAGCUACUUCUGACGUUGAGGCACGAAAGCGUGGGGAGCAAACAGGAUUAGAUACCCUUGUAGUC
rnacentral:rRNA from 1 species